rnacentral:rRNA from 1 species
AGUUUGAUCCUGGCUCAGGACGAACGCUGGCGGCGUGCCUAAUACAUGCAAGUCGAGCGGACAGAUGGGAGCUUGCUCUCUGAUGUUAGCGGCGGACGGGUGAGUAACACGUGGGUAACCUGCCUGUAAGACUGGGAUAACUCCGGGAAACCGGGGCUAAUACCGGAUGCUUGUUUGAACCGCAUGGUUCAGACAUAAAAGGUGGCUUCGGCUACCACUUACAGAUGGACCCGCGGCGCAUUAGCUAGUUGGUGAGGUAACGGCUCACCAAGGCGACGAUGCGUAGCCGACCUGAGAGGGUGAUCGGCCACACUGGGACUGAGACACGGCCCAGACUCCUACGGGAGGCAGCAGUAGGGAAUCUUCCGCAAUGGACGAAAGUCUGACGGAGCAACGCCGCGUGAGUGAUGAAGGUUUUCGGAUCGUAAAGCUCUGUUGUUAGGGAAGAACAAGUGCCGUUCAAAUAGGGCGGCACCUUGACGGUACCUAACCAGAAAGCCACGGCUAACUACGUGCCAGCAGCCGCGGUAAUACGUAGGUGGCAAGCGUUGUCCGGAAUUAUUGGGCGUAAAGGGCUCGCAGGCGGUUUCUUAAGUCUGAUGUGAAAGCCCCCGGCUCAACCGGGGAGGGUCAUUGGAAACUGGGGAACUUGAGUGCAGAAGAGGAGAGUGGAAUUCCACGUGUAGCGGUGAAAUGCGUAGAGAUGUGGAGGAACACCAGUGGCGAAGGCGACUCUCUGGUCUGUAACUGACGCUGAGGAGCGAAAGCGUGGGGAGCGAACAGGAUUAGAUACCCUGGUAGUCC